rnacentral:lncRNA from 1 species
UUCCUCUUCACUGGCACAGUGUAUCUGAAUACCUCCUUCCCUUCCAUCUAGAAUUCUUUGGAUUGUACUUGUUCCCACUACUUUGCUCUCUGCCUUGUGUUUGCAGCAUCUCCAUUCUCUAAAAUUAAUAUCAUUGCUUUCCUCCACACCCAGCCACUGUAAAGAGGUAACUUGAGUCCUCUUCCAUUGCAGUCCUGAUGAUCCUAACCUGCAGCACGAUGGUUUUACAAUGUUCCAGAGCAGGAAUGCCAGGUUGACAAGCUAUGGUAGGAUUAGGAAAGUUUGCUGAAGAGGAUCUUUGACGCCAUAGUGGGACUAGCCAGGAAUGAGGGAGAAAUGCCCUUUCUGGCAAUUAUUGGAGCUGGAUGGGUCAAUUUUAUAAGAGAGCGCAUUUUGAGCACUUUUAGGGCAUCAGGAACAAUGCUACUGAUGGGUAGACUGGGAGAGGUGGUGUAACUUAGUUCUUGAUGAUCCCACUUCCUGUUUCCAUCUGCGUGGGAUAUACCAGAGUUUACCACAAGUGUUUUGACCUGAUACAUUCCUGAGCUUUCACUCUGCUGCUUCUCCCAGGCCUCUUUUACAAUGGCAGGAGAUGUGGCAUGCUCUUGCCAAGUUUUCACAUCAUUUCCUGGCUAGUUCAUGUCAUUAAGUGGGUACAUCCUAACAUAUACGUUUGGUCAAGUUUGCAGAAAAGGACUGAAGAUUGACUGCCAAGCCAGUUUGGGUGAAGUUCACUCCAGCAAGUCUCAGGCAACAAUGGAGUGGUUUGGUUUGGUUUGGUUUCCUUUUAACUUACUUUUUGUUAUUUUCUUCUCCACCUGUGUGGUAUAUUUUUUAAACAGAAUUUUAUUUUUAAAAUAAAAGGUUCUUUACAAGAUGAUACCUUAAUUACACUCCUGCAACACAGCCAUUAUUUUAUUGUCUAGCUCCAGUUAUCUGUAGUUUAUGUAAUGUAAUUGACAGGAUGGCUGCUGCAGAAUGCUGGGUGACACAGGGAUUGUUAUACUGCUGUUUUUCCCUGAAUUUUUUCCUUUGAAUUCCAACUGUGGACCUUUUAUAUGUGCCUUCACUUUAGCUGUUUGCCUUAAUCUCUACAGCCUUGCUCUCCAGGGUGGUUAAUAAAAUGCAACACUUGGCAUUUUUUAUGUUUUAAGAAAAACAGUAUUUUAUUUAUAAUAAA